UACGAAGGGAGCUAGCGUUGUUCGGAAUCACUGGGCGUAAAGCGCACGUAGGCGGACGUGUCAGUCAGGGGUGAAAUCCCGGAGCUCAACUUCGGAACUGCCUUUGAUACAGCACGUCUUGAGUCCGGAAGAGGUGGGUGGAAUUCCUAGUGUAGAGGUGAAAUUCGUAGAUAUUAGGAAGAACACCGGUGGCGAAGGCGGCCCACUGGUCCGGUACUAACGCUGAGGUGCGAAAGCGUGGGGAGCAAACAGG
rnacentral:rRNA from 1 species